rnacentral:misc_RNA from 1 species
AAAGUCGUAACAAGGUUUCCGUAGGUGAACCUGCGGAAGGAUCAUUUCCGAAAACAACUCUUAUAAACCAAUCAUGUGGAAUGUUUUGGGUUUUUUACUCUAGAAGAAGUAGGGUUUAGUUGCUGUAAUAGUGACAACAGUAGUGCCAGUGGGUAUCUGCUGUUGCCCUCCUAUUAUGCAAUGCUCGACGCCCUAUUCUCUUCUAGAGGCCAUGAUGAACUACCUUCGGGUUGAUAGUUUCGUUCUUUUUAUUUUUGUUGAUAUACAACAAAGAAACAAAUGAUACGACAACUUUUAACGGUGGAUCUCUUGGCUCGU